UGAGUAAUGCCUAGGAAUCUGCCUGGGUAUCGGGGGAUAACGUCCGGAAACGGGCGCUAUACCGCAUACGUCUACGGGAGAAAGCAGGGGACCUUCGGGCCUUGCGCUAUCAGAUGAGCCUAGGUCGGAUUAGCUUGUUGGUGAGGUAAAGGCUCACCAAGGCGACGAUCCGUAACUGGUCUGAGAGGAUGAUCAGUCACACUGGAACUGAGACACGGUCCAGACUCCUACGGGAGGCAGCAGUGGGGAAUAUUGGACAAUGGGCGAAAGCCUGAUCCAGCCAUGCCGCGUGUGUGAAGAAGGUCUUCGGAUUGUAAAGCACUUUAAGUUGGGAGGAAGGGUUGUAGAUUAAUACUCUGCAAUUUUGACGUUACCGACAGAAUAAGCACCGGCUAACUUCGUGCCAGCAGCCGCGGUAAUACGAAGGGUGCAAGCGUUAAUCGGAAUUACUGGGCGUAAAGCGCGCGUAGGUGGUUUGUUAAGUUGGAAGUGAAAGCCCCGGGCUCAACCUGGGAACUGCUUUCAAAACUGGCAAGCUAGAGUAUGGCAGAGGGUGGUGGAAUUUCCUGUGUAGCGGUGAAAUGCGUAGAUAUAGGAAGGAACACCAGUGGCGAAGGCGACCACCUGGGCUAAUACUGACACUGAGGUGCGAAAGCGUGGGGAGCAAACAGGAUUAGAUACCCUGGUAGUCCACGCCGUAAACGAUGUCAACUAGCCGUUGGGAUCCUUGAGAUCUUAGUGGCGCAGCUAAC
rnacentral:rRNA from 1 species